rnacentral:rRNA from 1 species
AGACCCCAUGAACCUUUACUGUAGCUUUGCAUUGGACUUUGAACCGAUCUGUGUAGGAUAGGUGGGAGGCUAUGAAACCGGAACGCUAGUUUCGGUGGAGCCGUCCUUGAAAUACCACCCUGGUUUGUUUGAGGUUCUAACCUUGGCCCGUGAUCCGGGUCGGGGACAGUGCAUGGUAGGCAGUUUGACUGGGGCGGUCUCCUCCCAAAGCGUAACGGAGGAGUACGAAGGUACGCUAGGUA